GACGAACGCUGGCGGCGUGCUUAACACAUGCAAGUCGAACGGAAAGGCCCUGCUUUUGUGGGGUGCUCGAGUGGCGAACGGGUGAGUAACACGUGAGUAACCUGCCCUUGACUUUGGGAUAACUUCAGGAAACUGGGGCUAAUACCGGAUAGGAGCUCCUGCUGCAUGGUGGGGGUUGGAAAGUUUCGGCGGUUGGGGAUGGACUCGCGGCUUAUCAGCUUAUUGGUGGGGUAGUGGCUUACCAAGGCUUUGACGGGUAGCCGGCCUGAGAGGGUGACCGGCCACAUUGGGACUGAGAUACGGCCCAGAAUCCUACGGGAGGCAGAAGUGGGGAAUAUUGCACAAUGGGCGGAAGCCUGAUGCAGCAACGCCGCGUGCGGGAUGACGGCCUUCGGGUUGUAAACCGCUUUCGCCUGUGACGAAGCGUGAGUGACGGUAAUGGGUAAAGAAGCACCGGCUAACUACGUG
rnacentral:rRNA from 1 species